rnacentral:rRNA from 1 species
UACAGAGGGUGCAAGCGUUGUUCGGAAUCAUUGGGCGUAAAGGGCGUGUAGGCGGUAUGUUAAGUCAUGUGUGAAAUCCCCCGGCUCAACCGGGGAAGUGGCACCGAUACGACCGGCCUGGAGGGGGGUAGGGGGCGCUGGAACUCACGGUGGAGCGGUGAAAUGCGUUGAGAUCGUGAGGAACGCCCGCGGCGAAAGCGAGCGCCUGGACCCUUUCUGACGCUGAGACGCGAAAGCCAGGGGAGCGAACGGG